UUUGGGCCGAGUUUCAUAUCAUAAAGAAAUAUUUAGGAGACAGUGUUCUUGUUUUAUAAUUUGCUACGUCCAUGGAAAUCCAUAGGUAGUGUACUCCGAUCGCUUUUCUAUCGGUUAAAUUGGUUGCAUUACUUUUCAUUUGUUCCUUUGUGCGAAGUCGAACGUAUUUGGUGUGACUGUAACCAAAAGUAAAAGAAAUGGGUACGACGUCAAAAAUAUGUGUGGUGGUAAUGCUUAUGGUACUAAUAGUAACGUCGCGAGUAGAUGGUGCGGAAGACACCUACCACUUCCAAAAGUUCUACGAUGAAUAUGAAGAGAGGUACAUAGCUGCAAAAAAGGUUGUCGCGGUCGCCUACGUGAUUUACGUGUUCCUUCUAUGUAAAAUUGGCAUGGAACCGUAGACAUGAAACCAAAAUUUGUUCUUUUAAAUUUUUUAUGUGACACAAUUAUAGGUAUAAUUUAAAUAUUUUGGUUGGAUUUGGAAUUUGGUAGCAAUUAGGUGCUGGUUAAUUUAAGAAAGUAGAAUUAUUUGUAAACUGUAACCAUAUUUACUUCAUAGUGAAUUAUAGUAUUUUAGUCAGAUCUCUA